rnacentral:rRNA from 1 species
UACGGGGGGGGCAAGCGUUGUUCGGAAUUACUGGGCGUAAAGGGCUCGUAGGCGGCCAACUAAGUCGGACGUGAAAUCCCCAGGCUCAACCUGGGAACUGCGUCCGAUACUGGAUGGCUUGAGAUUGGGAGAGGGAUGCGGAAUUCCAGGUGUAGCGGUGAAAUGCGUAGAUAUCUGGAGGAACACCGGUGGCGAAGGCGGCAUCCUGGACCAACACUGACACUGAGGAGCGAAAGCCAGGGGAGCAAACGGG